rnacentral:rRNA from 1 species
AAUGGCUGCAGUAAUCUAACUGUACAAAGGUAGCAUAAUCAUUAGUUUUUUAAUUAAAAGCUUGUAUGAAAGGUUGGACGAAGUAAAAUCUGUCUCUUUUUAAUAUAAUUAGAAUUUAAUUUUUAAGUUAAAAAGCUUAAAUUUUUAUAAAAGACGAGAAGACCCUAUAGAGUUUAAUAAUUAAUUUUAAAUAAUUAAUUUAGAUUUAUUUAUUUUAUUUUUUAUAUAAUUAUUUUAUUGGGGUAAUAAAAAGAUUAAUAUAAUUCUUUUUUUUAUUUUACAUUAAUAUAUGAUUCAAAUGAUCCAUUUUUAUGAUUAAAAGAUUAAAUUACCUUAGGGAUAACAGCGUAAUUUUUUUAAAGAGUUCUUAUCGAUAAUAAAGUUUGCGACCUCGAUGUUGGAUUAAAGAUUAAUUUAGGUGUAGAAGUUUAAAUUUUUGGUCUGUUCGACCAUUAAAUCUUUACAUGAUCUGAGUUCAAACCGGUGUAAGCCAGGUUGGUUUCUAUCUUUAUAAAAUUUUUAUAUUUUAGUACGAAAGGACCAAAUAUUUAAUAUAUAAAUAUUUAAUUAUUUUGAAUAU